rnacentral:rRNA from 1 species
AUUGAACGCUGGCGGCAUGCCUUACACAUGCAAGUCGAACGGCAGCACGGGUGCUUGCACCUGGUGGCGAGUGGCGAACGGGUGAGUAAUACAUCGGAACAUGUCCUGUAGUGGGGGAUAGCCCGGCGAAAGCCGGAUUAAUACCGCAUACGAUCUACGGAUGACAGCGGGGGACUUUCGGGCCUCGCGCUAUAGGGUUGGCCGAUGGCUGAUUAGCUAGUUGGUGGGGUAAAGGCCUACCAAGGCGACGAUCAGUAGCUGGUCUGAGAGGACGACAGGCGACACUGGGACUGAGCCACGGCCCAGACUCCUACGGGAGGCAGCAGUGGGGAAUUUUGGACAAAGGGCGGAAGCCUGAUCCAGCAAUGCCGCGUGUGUGAAGAAGGCCUUCGGGUUGUAAAGCACUUUUGUCCGGAAAGAAAUGCUUGGCCCUAAUACGGUCGGGGGAUGACGGUACCGGAAGAAUAAGCACCGGCUAACUACGUG